CCGGUCAGCUCCUCUCCUCGGGCGAGAGAGCGCUCCAACUGUUCUCGUCUCCUCCUCCCCCAGCGGGCAGGGCUCAAGAGGAGCGCAUGGGAGCUCUCGCGCUCUCUUUCUCCCCCCUCCCACCCCCCCCCCCCCUCGUUUGUCCCUUCACGGGGUGAUGAGGGAGCAGCGCUGUUGGCGGUAGAGGAGGUGCGUGGCAGUCCAGGAAGCUCUCAUUCUGCCGCUGUGUGCCGCUCCGCCGCCGCCGCUGCCACCGCCGUCGUCCGGCUCCAACUUGCUCCCGUCGCUCGUGUCAGAGUUGCCUUCCCCUGCCUCCUCCUUCCUCCCCCCUCAUUGAUUCCUCUCUCCGCCUUGCCUCUCGUGGUGCCGCUCCUCCUCGCCGCCGUCGUCGCCGUCGUCCUCGCCGGCCAGGAUCAGCCUAUACCGUCCCCGGUUGGUCCUCGCCGCCGUUCCCUCUGCCUUGCCGGGCCGUGUGUGCCGAGCGAGACCCUGGCAGCCGGAGUGGUGGAAAAUGAAAGCACAAAGCAGCAAAAUGCAUCAGCAUGAAUAUUAGAGAUGUCGUUAAAACCAGGACUCGUUUUUCUCUCGCUCUCUCGCUCACCCCCACACACACAUACACACACACACAUGCUCUCUCUCUCUCUCUCUUUGUAAGGAAGUAGGCCAGCAGAUGGUGCUAGCAGUUAUUACAUUAACUUUUACAACUUAACCCCCAAAGUACUGGAUCUCUCCCAGACCACAGAUUGGGAGAUUCGCAGCUUUUUGCAUCCUCGUGUUGGAUGCUGCACACGAGAUCAUCCAGAAAAGAGAAACCCAUCCCCAAACAGCUGAAAGGAUCCCGGGAAUAUAAACCAAGGACUUUAGGAAACGAGCACCGUGAAGUACCGGAGAGGUUUCUCCACGUCCUCCGCUGAUGGAUCCAAACGCGUCCGCCGAGUCAAGAUCGGGUCACUGUGGUGAAACUGGACGAAAAAAGAAACUCCAGAGGGGAAGCUGGGACGUGUCCAAGACAUACAAGUCUCUCUGGCAGCCGGAGGAGACGUCGGGGGCAGGAGAGGGCCUUUCAGGGAACUCCUGACGCCGCGCUGCCGGGGCCAUGUGCCGCCAGUCGCACAUGGUAUCGGGAAUCACUUAGACACGCAUGGCUGGCCUCCAGCCAGAGACACAGAUGGCGGCCUGGUGUGGAAAAGCGACGGCUGCUCUUUGCGAGUACGAGCAGCAGCAGCAGCAGCAGGGGCAGCAGGGACCGGAUCAACCUGCCCGAGCCGGGCCUUGGAGUUUGGCCUCUACAGCAGAUCACACGCUUGCUCUCCAAGUUAAACAGAUCCAUCGUGGGAUGAUGCCCAACAGGGUACGAUACCUGGGCCCCGAGUUGACAGCACAAGCAUCCCCAGCACAACAGGUUUCCACUAAUAAAAGGAAACUGAUUCUCUGCAAAAACAAAAAACACCCAAUCCUCCAAUAGUCAUUUCUGAAACGUCACCACCAA